rnacentral:rRNA from 1 species
ACGGAGGGUGCGAGCGUUGUCCGGAAUCAUUGGGCGUAAAGGGCGCGUAGGUGGCCAGGUAGGUUCGGUGUGAAAGCUCGGAGCUUAACUCCGAAAUGUCAUUGAAUACUAUCUGGCUGGAGGGUCGGAGGGGAGACUGGAAUUCUCGGUGUAGCAGUGAAAUGCGUAGAUAUCGAGAGGAACACCAGUGGCGAAGGCGAGUCUCUGGACGACACCUGACACUGAGGCACGAAAGCUAGGGGAGCAAACAGGA